AAUAGAAAAAUGAUUGCAUUAAAUAUAUAAUAAGAAAAAGUUACAUUACAAGAGUUGGUCUGUGAGGCUCCCAACAAUGGGGAUUUAGUCUAUCAUCACUAUGAGAGAUUUUACACUUUAAGAGCUAAUAUGAAUAGAAGAAGGAAAGAGAUAAAUAAAGGAAGAGAAAGAGAUAGUGAACAUAGAAACAGGAUUUCCCUUAUUAGAGAUGCUUAGACAUAGGAUGUAUUCAUUAAAGAGCUCUGAGUGCCUGUGUCCUAGUGUGU
rnacentral:lncRNA from 1 species